UACAGAGGGGGCAAGCGUUGUUCGGAAUUACUGGGCGUAAAGGGCGCGUAGGCGGCCUUCUAAGUCGAACGUGAAAUCCCCGGGCUCAACCCGGGAACUGCGUCCGAGACUGGAAGGCUUGAAUCCGGGAGAGGGAUGUGGAAUUCCAGGUGUAGCGGUGAAAUGCGCAGAUAUCAGGAGGAACACCGGUGGCGAAGGCGGUUCUCUGGGCAUUACCUGACGCUGAGGAGCGAAAGUGUGGGGAGCGAACAGG
rnacentral:rRNA from 1 species